rnacentral:rRNA from 1 species
UACAGAGGUCUCAAGCGUUGUUCGGAUUCAUUGGGCGUAAAGGGUGCGUAGGCGGCGCGGUAAGUCGGGUGUGAAAUCUCGGGGCUUAACUCCGAAACUGCAUUCGAUACUACCGUGCUUGAGGACUGGAGAGGAGACUGGAAUUUACGGUGUAGCGGUGAAAUGCGUAGAUAUCGUAAGGAAGACCAGUGGCGAAGGCGGGUCUCUGGACAGUUCCUGACGCUGAGGCACGAAGGCCAGGGGAGCAAACGGG